rnacentral:rRNA from 1 species
UACGUAGGGGGCCAGCGUUGUCCGGAAUCAUUGGGCGUAAAGCGCGCGUAGGUGGCCCGGUAAGUCCGCUCUGAAAGUCAAAGGCUCAACCUUUGAAAGCGGGUGGAUACUGCCAGGCUAGAGUCCGGAAGAGGCGAGUGGAAUUCCUGGUGUAGCGGUGGAAUGCGCAGAUAUCAGGAGGAACACCAACGGCGAAGGCAGCUCGCUGGGACGGUACUGACACUGAGGCGCGAAAGCGUGGGGAGCGAACAGG